rnacentral:rRNA from 1 species
AGAAUCAACGCUGGCGGCGUGCCUAACACAUGCAAGUCGAACGAGAAAGUGGAGCAAUCCAUGAGUAAAGUGGCGCACGGGUGAGUAACACGUGACUAACCUACCCUUGAGUGGGAGAUAACCUAGAGAAAUCUGGGCUAAUACCGCAUAAUACCUUCGGGUCAAAGGAGCAAUUCGCUUAAGGAGGGGGUCGCGGCCGAUUAGUUAGUUGGCGGGGUAAUGGCCCACCAAGACUAUGAUCGGUAU